AGUGACAAGAAAUAACAAUACAGGACUUUUUGGUUUUGUAAUUGGAAUGAGUUAAGUAUAAACCCCUUUACAAGUAUCAAUUGGAGGGCAAGUCUGGUGCCAGCAGCCGCGGUAAUUCCAGCUCCAAUAGCGUAUAUUAAAGUUGUUGCAGUUAAAAAGCUCGUAGUUGGAUUUCUGUUAAUAAUUUAUAUAAAAUAUUUUGAAUAUUUAUAUAACAUUAACAUAAUUCAUAUUACUAUAUUUUUUAGUAUAUGAAAUUUUACUUUGAGAAAAUUAGAGUGCUUAAAGCAGG
rnacentral:rRNA from 1 species